rnacentral:rRNA from 1 species
GACGAACGCUGGCGGCGUGCUUAACACAUGCAAGUCGAACGGAAAGGCCCCUUUGGGGGUACUCGAGUGGCGAACGGGUGCGUAACACGUGAGUAACCUGCCCUUGACUUCGGGAUAACUUCAGGAAACUGGGGCUAAUACCGGAUAGGAAUCAUUGCUGCAUGGUGGGGGUUGGAAAGCUUCGGCGGGUUUGGAUGGACUGGCGGCUUAUCAGCUUGUUGGUGGGGUAGUGGCUUACCAAGGCGUUGACGGGUAGCCGGCCUGAGAGGGCGACCGGCCACAUUGGGACUGAGAUACGGCCCAGACUCCUACGGGAGGCAGCAGUGGGGAAUAUUGCACAAUGGGCGGAAGCCUGAUGCAGCAACGCCGCGUGCGGGAUGACGGCCUUCGGGUUGUAAACCGCUUUCAGCAGGGGCGAAGCUUGUGGUGACGGUACCUGCAGAAGAAGCACCGGCUAACUACGUG